GCCCACAGCAAACUUGUUAAAAGUUAUUCAAAUAAUUAUUUCAUUUUAACUUUGACAGGUGCAAAAAAAAGUAUAAAAAACAACAAAUUGAUUUCAACGUGAAGUAAAUAAAUAUCUCGAAAUUAUCAUAAUAUAAAAAUGUAUCUCAAGAGUCUAAUGAAAAUAUUCGCUGCGUGUGAGAAAGUUACUUCUAGGAAACGGAAAAGAAUACGUGCUAAUGCUAAUGUCGAUAAAAAUUG